UACAGAGGUCUCGAGCGUUAGGCGGAAUCACUGGGCUUAAAGCGUGUGUAGGCGGAUUGCUAAGUACCUUGUGAAAUCCCACGGCUUAACCGUGGAACUGCUUGGUAUACUGGCUGUCUUGAGCCACUUAGGGGCAACCGGAACAAACGGUGGAGCGGUGAAAUGUGUUGAUAUCGGUGGGAACGCCAGUGGCGAAAGCGGCAAACUUGACCCUUCCUGACGCUGAGGCGCGAAAGCUAGGGGAGCAAACGGG
rnacentral:rRNA from 1 species